rnacentral:tRNA from 1 species
GCCGAAGUGGUGGAACUGGUAGACGCACCGGACUCAAAAUCCGGCGAGGGCAACCUCAUGGGGGUUCGAUUCCCCCCUUCGGCACCA